AUUGAACGCUGGCGGCAGGCUUAACACAUGCAAGUCGAGCGGGGUGAUGGUGCUUGCACUAUCACUUAGCGGCGGACAGGUGAGUAAUGCUUAGGAAUCUGCCUAUUAGUGGGGGACAACAUCUCGAAAGGGAUGCUAAUACCGCAUACGUCCUACGGGAGAAAGCAGGGGAUCACUUGUGACCUUGCGCUAAUAGAUGAGCCUAAGUCGGAUUAGCUAGUUGGUGGGGUAAAGGCCUACCAAGGCGACGAUCUGUAGCGGGUCUGAGAGGAUGAUCCGCCACACUGGGACUGAGACACGGCCCAGACUCCUACGGGAGGCAGCAGUGGGGAAUAUUGGACAAUGGGGGGAACCCUGAUCCAGCCAUGCCGCGUGUGUGAAGAAGGCCUUAUGGUUGUAAAGCACUUUAAGCGAGGAGGAGGCUCUUUUGGUUAAUACCCAAGAUGAGUGGACGUUACUCGCGGAAUAAGCACCGGCUAACUCUGUGCCAGCAGCCGCCGUAA
rnacentral:rRNA from 1 species